AUUGAACGCUGGCGGCAGGCCUAACACAUGCAAGUCGAACGAGUGGCGGACGGGUGAGUAAUGUCUGGGAAACAGCCCGAUGGAGGGGGAUAACAAUUGGAAACGGUAGCUAAUAUCGCACACCAUCGGAUGUGUCCAGAUGGGAUUAGCUCGUAGGUGGGGUAACGGCUCACCGAGGCGACGAUCCCUAGCUGGUCUGAGAGGAGGACCAGCCACACUGGAAAUGAGACACGGUCCAGACUCCUACGGGAGGCAGCAGUGGGGAAUAUUGCACAAUGGGCGCAAGCCUGAUGCAGCCAUGCCGCGUGUAUGAAGAAGGCCUUCGGGUUGUAAAGUACUUGCAGCGAGGAGGCGUUACUCGCAGAAGAAGCACCGGCUAACUCCGUGCCAGCAGCCGCGGUAAUUC
rnacentral:rRNA from 1 species